rnacentral:lncRNA from 1 species
CACAGAGUCCAUUCCUAUUUAAAACUGUUCAAAAUAAGCUAUAGAAAUCUUAGAUAUUUUUUAUCCCAUGUAAUUUAUUCUGGGAGUUGAGUUUUUGACUCUUCAUGGUUAAUCUUGUUCUGGUUAUCUCCACCUCUUGUCAACCUCAGAUGAAUUUCCCACCUGUCAACACUCUGAGCACUUAGAAAAAAAAAAUGGUCCUAGAUCCCAUAUUCUCUUUCAUAGUUUAGGUCCUGGAAAUGUGGAAGAAGUCUCAAAAUGAAACUUAAACAUUACCUUAUUUGAUCUAAAGUCAGGAGCUACCCCCCCCCCCCNNNNNNNNNNNNNNNNAAAAAAAAAAAAAAAAAAAAAAAAAGGCACUGUUUUUGGUGAGAGGAGAUGGCAGUUGCUGGGAAAUGUGUCUGUGGCUGAUAAGGAAGGGGAAGGGCUUAAAGCGACAGCCACCCAACUUCAUUAGUGUUUCGGAGCUCAGGAAAACAUGUCUUUGCAAGAAGGGAACAGGAAUACUUUUUUUUUGUAAUUGUUUAUUUGCAUUAAUGAAAAGCCUUAAUGACCCAUAUCAUGAAAGGUUACUCUUUGCAUAAUCUAGUGACAGGUUUACUCACAUUCAGAGGUCACAUUAAUAUUUACUGAAGGCACAACAAGUAUAAAGUUUCACUGUAUUAAAAAUUGGGUGGCUCUUGAAAUUGCUGACAGAAGCUGACUCAGUUUGAUUUGCCUGUGGAUAUGAUAAUUGUAACAUGGCUUGCUGUGUUUUUAGAGGUUAUAAGUUGCAAGAUGUGUAUUUGCAUCUCGGGAAAGUUACCAUAGCCUGCUUUGACAAUGCAGUAGGAAGUACUUAAGUGUGAGUAGUAUGUCGUACAUAAAUUGUGGCAGAAUUAAAUAAGAAUCAUUAAAGUAUGCCAGGUUUAUUAAAAAUUCAUUAUUCUACUAGGGGAUCUUUAAAGAGCAGUAAGAACUUGAAGAAAUAAUAGGAAAGCUUUGGUAACAGUGACAAUGUGUUAAUUGAGUUGAAAGAAGGUAAAGAAUGUAUUAACAGAAUGGAUCCAAAUUUGGCAAAAAAAGAUUUGUAAUAAAUCAGGGGAGGAAAUCAGUUAAUAAAGAGGCCAAUUAUCAGUGAAGGAGGGGAGUGUAUUUAAUGAUUCUAAGUGAAAGGUUAAACUGCUUUUGUGAAUUUCAGUUUAACAAAAAUGAAGAAAAGCAAUAUGGAUAAUUAGACAGUAAUAAGAUCAUACUGAAAAAUAUCAGAAAACUGCCUUAGGUGUUAGGGGACUGUUGGUUAAUGAACUUAAGCUCCUGCAAUUAUCUUCAAAUACUCAUUUUUGCUCUAGAAAUGGAGGGAGUGAUGUUUUUAGUUAUUUUUUGUCUUUUUUUUCCCCCUAGGGCUGCACCUGUGGCAUAGGCAUAUGGAGGUACCCAGGCUAAGAGGUCGAAUUGGAGCUACACCUGCCGGCCUAUGCCAUAGUAACAGCAAUGCCAGAUCUGAGCUGCAUCUGCAACCCACACCACAGCUCAGAGCAAUGCUGGAUCCUUAACCCACUGAGUGAGUCCAGGGAUCGAACCUGUGUCCUCAUGGGUACUAUUCAGAUUUGUUUCUGCUGGGCCAUGACAGGAACCCCUGUUUUUAGCUAUUUUUAAGGAGGUGUGAUUCUUUAGCACAUUUAUUAUAGUGUAGAUUUUAAACAUGGUAACAAAUAGUGAAAUGAAUUUCUCAUGAGAAGCAUAUCUGACAUCUGUAAUUUUUUAAAGUACUGUAAUUUUUGCUACGUAUAUGUAUUUGUUAGGGGUCAGUUAUUUACAUUUGAAUUCUACUUUACUCAUCUGUUUCAUGAUGGAAACAGCUUGAGACUAUCAACCUAUUGGAACCAAUCACAGAAAAUCAAUACAGGAUGUUAUGAUUCUUAGAAGAAAAAACUUUAUUUAGACAAUAUUGGGAUUUUUAUGUAUGUGUUUUUAAUAAGGCCUUAAUUGAGAUUCACUUUUAAUUAACCCAAUAAAAUAUCUAUGUAACAUAUAAUUAUAUGUAUACACGUAUGUAUAAAAUCAAUAAUUAUUAAAAUCUAUAAAGAUGUUAAUAGAUUCUUGGCCAUUUUUCAAGCUUCUUAUGGCUCUGAAUUUUGAGAAGGUCUUGGUAAUCAUUUCUGGAAUCAACAUAAGGACUAAUUUUAUAUGACCUCUGUACUAACAAGCAAACAGAGGGAAUAAUAACCAAUAUAAUGAAGUUCAUAGAUGAUUCUAAAUUAAAAGAUGGUAUGGCUGUAGAAUUUGGGCUGAUCUCAACUCCUGUGAUGCUAUGUUGAAAAAAAGAUCCUUUGAUAUAUACGGAAUUAUCCUUUAUAAUUAUAGACUCUCUUUGUCACUGAUUCUUAUGAUUAGCUUGGUUUUUCUUUUAUUAUGUCAAAUGUAGUUCAGCAUCGUAUAUUAAUGUUGAAAACCAAUGAAAAAGUCCGCUCUACAAAAUGUUAACAGCUUCCCAAUAGGUUAAUAGCUCAAAUAGGUAAUAACCCAAGGGGCAGUUCAUGAUUAACUAGUCAAAAAAGAUUUGGACCAGAUACCAAGAGACCUGGGUUCUAGGAUCACUCUGGCA